rnacentral:rRNA from 1 species
GACGAACGCUGGCGGCGUGCUUAACACAUGCAAGUCGAACGGAAAGGCCCUGCUUGCGGGGUGCUCGAGUGGCGAACGGGUGAGUAACACGCGGGUGAACUGCCCCCUACUUUUUGAGAAACCUUGGAAACUGGGUCGAUUACAGGAUAGGACAGUGCUUGAUGUGGUGUGGUGGAAAGAUUUUUUCGGUAGUGGAUGAGCUUGGGGCCGAUGAGCUUCUUGGUGGGGUAGUGGUCUACUAAGGCGUCGACGGGUAGUCGGCCUCAGAGGGGGGACGGCAACAUGGGGACUGGGAUACGGCCACGACUCAGACGGGAGGCAGCAGUAGGGGAUAGUGAACAAGCGGAGCAAGCCUGAGGCAGCGACGCCGCGGGGGGGAUCGCGACAUUCGGGUUGUAGACUCCUUCCGGCUAUGACGAAGCCUCUUUUGGGGUGACGGUAGUGGGAGAAGAAGCACCGGCUAACUACGUG